rnacentral:rRNA from 1 species
CGUACCUUUUGUAUAAUGGGUCAGCGACUUACUUUCAUUGGCGAGCUUAACCGAAUAGGGGAGGCGUAGGGAAACCGAGUCUUAAUAGGGCGUAUAGUUGCUAGGAUUAGACCCGAAACCGAGUGAUCUAUCCAUGAGCAGGUUGAAGAUUAGGUAACACUGAUUGGAGGACCGAACCCACUGUCGUUGAAAAGCCAGGGGAUGACUUGUGGAUAGGAGUGAAAGGCUAAUCAAACUCGGAG